rnacentral:rRNA from 1 species
AGGAUUAACGCUGGCGGCGUGCCUAACACAUGCAAGUCGAACGAGGUAGCAAUACCUAGUGGCAGACGGGUGAGUAACGCGUGGUCAACCUACCGUUGAGUGGGGGAUAACUAGCCGAAAGGUUAGCUAAUACCGCAUACGUCUCCGAGGGGCAUCCCUUGGCGAUAAAAGGAGCAAUCCGCUCGAUGACGGGACCGCGUCCCAUUAGCUAGAUGGUGGGGUAACGGCCUACCAUGGCACCGAUGGGUAGCUGGUUUGAGAGAGCGACCAGCCACACUGGGACUGAGAAACGGCCCAGACUCCUACGGGAGGCAGCAGUGAGGAAUUUUCCGCAAUGGGCGCAAGCCUGACGGAGCGACGCCGCGUGUGGGAAGAAGGCCUUCGGGUCGUAACCACUGUCGAAGGGGACGAUAAUGACGGUACCCUUGGAGGAAGCCCCGGCUAACUACGCGCCAGCAGCCGC